GUAUUAGAGCUCAGUUGGUUAGAGCGCGGUGCUGAUAAGGCCAAGGUUGCAGGUUUGAUCCCCGUUUGGGACA